CUACGGGCUGCACCAGUUAGGUAUAAUCUACAAUGCGCGAAAGCGUGAUAGUUUGAGUCAGAGUGCGCUUCAAUUUGGAGUGCUUUUGUGAAAUGUAAAAAGUUUCACGAAUAAGGACUGGGUAAGACUAGUGCCAGCCGCCGCGGUAAUACUAGCGGUCCAAGUCGCAGCCAUUUUUAUUGGGUCUAAAACAUCCGUAGCUUGUUUGGUAAGUUUCUUGUGAAAUCCUGUUCCUCAAGUUCAGGGCGAGCGAGAAGUACUGCCAAGCUAGAGACCGGAAGACGUAACGAGUACGUUCAGAGUAAUGGUGAGAUAUUUUAAUCCUGGACGGACUAACAACAGCGAAGGCACGUUACGAGGACGGUUCUGACAGUAAGGGAUGAAGGCUAGGGUCGCGAAAGGGAUUAGAUACCCGUGUAGUC
rnacentral:rRNA from 1 species